GUGCCAGCAGCCGCGGUAACACCGGCAGCCCAAGUGAUGGCCGAUAUUAUUGGGCCUAAAGCGUCCGUAGCUGGCCGCGCAAGUUCGUCGGGAAAUCCACUCGCUUAACGAGUGGGCGUCCGGCGAAAACUGUGCGGCUUGGGACCGGAAGAUCCAAGGGGUACGUCCGGGGUAGGAGUGAAAUCCCGUAAUCCUGGACGGACCACCGAUGGCGAGAGCACCUUGGAAGGACGGCUCCGACAGUGAGGGACGAAAGCUAGGGUCUCGAACCGGAUUAGAUACCCUGGUAAUCG
rnacentral:rRNA from 1 species